rnacentral:piRNA from 1 species
UNGUGGUGUCUAAAGCAGCCUGGAGCAAACC